UCCGGGGUAGCUCAAUUGGUGGAGCAGCGCGCUGUUAACGCGACGGUCGAGGGUUCGAGCCCCUCCCCCGGAG
rnacentral:tRNA from 1 species